rnacentral:rRNA from 1 species
GUGGGGAAUUUUGGACAAUGGGCGCAAGCCUGAUCCAGCAAUGCCGCGUGCAGGAAGAAGGCCUUCGGGUUGUAAACUGCUUUUGUACGGAACGAAACGGUCCGGGUUAAUACCCUGGGCUAAUGACGGUACCGUAAGAAUAAGCACCGGCUAACUACGUGCCAGCAGCCGCGGUAAUACGUAGGGUGCAAGCGUUAAUCGGAAUUACUGGGCGUAAAGCGUGCGCAGGCGGCUUUGUAAGACAGGCGUGAAAUCCCCUGGCUCAACCUGGGAGUUGCGCUUGUGACUGCAAGGCUGGAGUGCGGCAGAGGGGGAUGGAAUUCCGCGUGUAGCAGUGAAAUGCGUAGAUAUGCGGAGGAACACCGAUGGCGAAGGCAAUCCCCUGGGCCUGCACUGACGCUCAUGCACGAAAGCGUGGGGAGCAAACAGGAUUAGAUACCCUGGUAGUCC